AAAAAAAAAAAAAAGAAAAGAAAAAAUGGGUCUUUAAUAUUGGUUUUAAACUGACAUUGUAGGUGUGGGUUUAGACGAUCUAUGUUCCUGUUCAUCAGAUUUGUCGUGGGUUUAGAUCUGUUCGUUCCCCAUGUGUUUCGUCACUCUAGCUCCCCGUGCAUUCCACCGUUUGCUCCACCACUCAAAUCUGUUCUCGAUCUGCCAUUCUUCAAGGUCUAUCAGCUCAUUUCACACGCCAUUCACCAGAUCAUGCCAAGGGUUCCGCCGAGCUCCAUCGUUCUUCCAAUUUCGACCACUGCUCAGAUCUAUCCACGAUCUAUUUGAUCUUCGAAGAACAAAACCAGCUUCAUCCUUUGCCUCAAUAACAACAACAAGAAGAAACUCAAUAAUGUUUGAAGAAUAAACCCUAACAUCCAUUUAAUUUCUAUACCAAAAUGUCGUGGCAAACAUAUGUUAAUGAUCAUUUGAUGUGCAACAUUGAUGGCCAAGGCCAGCUCGGAUGGUCUUCAAGGACACAGAGAAUGGGAGGCUGAGGUUAGCUUUCUCGGAGAGCUUUUACCAUCCCAAUCUUGUUAAACUUAUUGGAUACUGUAUUGAAGAUUAUCAAAGGCUUCUUGUAUAUGAAUUUAUUACGCGCGAUAGUCUUGAAAACCAUCUUUCUUGGAGGCACCAUAUGUGGCAGCCUAGGUACCAUUGCUAACCUCUAUUUUUUAGAGUUGGAGCUGGGGUUCCUUCUUUUGUGGGUAAGGUUCUUUAAUAUGUCCUUGUAUAUUCUUUCAUUUCUUUUACUUAAUACAAAUUUUUUAAAAAUUUAUGUUGUAAAUCAUUUAGGUGGUUGCUUUGCUGUGUCUUUGUAUAUUCUUUCAUUUUUUUAAUCAUUUAUGGCGGUUGCUUUGCUUUGUUUCCCAAAAACCAUGAUGAGAUAGAUCUUGAGUUCUUAGAGAAAACUCGAGACAGAUUUGAGGGUUCUGACCAAUAUUUAUGGGAAUGAAGUACACAACAUUUUCGGUAAGUUUUAUGUUUUAAACUUUGUCUAUAAAAUCAAUUAAGGCACUGCAUAUUACUUUACAAACCUUGGAAAAUCCCUUAUUUGUAGUUUGAAACUAAUUAGGAGUAUUCAAGUUAAUUUCUAAGACAAUUUUGAAUUCUAUCAUCAUUCUUAAGAUUCUAGUUUAAAUUUUAUGAUAUACUGCAAUAAUUUUAACUGAAAAGAGAAAGAAUGAGGGAACAAAUUCUAUCAAUAUUUGAAUUCUCCUUUAAAAUUUAGCUCUUAUGACAUUUAUGUUGAUUUUGUGGUUCGUUCUGUUUAGAAGAGUAAGAUUUUGAAGUUCUUGGGAUUUAUAUUGAACCCUCUCUCAUAAAUCAUGGAAGCUACAACUAUAAUGGCUAUUACCCUAGCUAAUA